UACAGAGGUCUCAAGCGUUGUUCGGAUUCAUUGGGCGUAAAGGGUGCGUAGGUGGCGUGGUAAGUCGGGUGUGAAAUUUCGGAGCUUAACUCCGAAACUGCAUUCGAUACUGCUGUGCUUGAGGACUGGAGAGGAGACUGGAAUUUACGGUGUAGCAGUGAAAUGCGUAGAGACCGGGAAGAACACCAGUGGCGAAGGCGGCUACCUGGACAGGUACUGACGCUGAAGCGCGAAAGCUAGGGGAGCAAACAGG
rnacentral:rRNA from 1 species